rnacentral:siRNA from 1 species
UAUGAGCUGAUUGAUGAGGAC